rnacentral:rRNA from 1 species
UUUGACCUCAAAUGCAGGUAGGAACUACCCGUCKAAC